rnacentral:misc_RNA from 1 species
GUGAAUCAUCAAAUUUUUGAAUGCAAAUUGCACUCUCUGGCAUUCCGGGGAGUGUGCCUGUUUGAGGGUCAGUUUAAAUAAAAAUCGAGGUGUUGCUUUUUUGUGACCCGUCGGAAGUAGGUUAUCGUUUACCUUUUAAAAGGUUUAAGUGACCUAAAAUUUGUACCUUGUGCAUCUCAUACUUACAUAAGAAUAUUUUUCUAUUCGUCCGGUGUUUCAUACUAUUAUGAGGUAUGUCCAUGUUGU